AUAAAAGGCCCCAUGGCCGAAAAUGGGCGAGUUUUCUCCCCUAUUUUCGGUCAACGGUGAGUUCAUGCCCUCCCAUGGUUGGUUUUGAGGUUUUCCUUCAAAUCCUACAAGUUUCUAACAAGUUUUAACUGGUUUUUGAAGUUUUUGAGCAAAGAUCGAAGUUUGGAAGCUUGGAGACCUCCGGAACCCAUUUUCCCCAAAUCUCCAAGUUGGGUCACGUUUUCUCUCGAUCUUCAAGAGGUAAGCGUCGAUCCUCGCCUUCUUCGAUGUUCUAAGCAAGUUUUAUGAAAGUUAUGAGGUAGAAAUGCAUGUUUAAGCUAGUUGUUUAAUGUUAGGGUUCAUGUGAGUUUUGUUGAAAAUAUGGAUAAUGUAUGUUGUAUAAGUUGCUAUAUGUGUUGUUGUUGGGGUUUAGGAGAGUGUGAGACCCCUAUAUGCUUGUUUGCAUGAGUAUGCAUGUUGUAGAAUAGCAAAAUGCAUGUUUGAAAGUUUUGGGAGGCAAAAUGUGCAUGUGGAGGCUGAGUUCUGCCACUUUGGAAGAACUCAGGUUCAGCAGCCGAAGGACUUUCGGCCGCCGAACCUGCCUGUGGAGGCAAGCUUUUGGCUGCCGAACCCUGCCCCCGAAAGUUGGACUUUCGGCUCUGGAAGGGAGUUUCGGCCGCCGAAGGUGCCACCGAACAUGCAUGAGUUUCGUCUCUGGAAGGGACUUUCGGCCGCCGAACCUGCCGCCGAAAGCGCCCUGUUCAGCCUUCCUUUGCAUGUUUUCUAUGAUUGUUUUAAGGUGUUUUAGGGGGUUUUUGGGGAGUUGUUUAGAGUCAUGUUCAUGUAUGUUUGGUCCCUCAUUUGAGUCCACCUGUGUAGGUUCGGACCCGAGGAACCGAGGACCCCAGCAGUGAGAUAGUUGCUUCAGAGUCUUUUCAGAGCUAGCCUGAGGUGAGUAGAAUGACUCUUUAUAUUGCAAAGUAAAUAAAUAAAUUUUGAGCAUGUUCAUGCAUCACGAAUGCCAUGAGAUAUAUUAGGUUGUUUGCAUUAGAAUUCACGAAUAUGUUGCAUUGCAUAAUAUGAUGUUGAUAUGGAUGAACAUUGGAUGAUCCAUUAGCCCUCGUAUGGUAUAAUAUGACAUGAUGAUGAUACGGUAUGGAAGUCCAGGAAGACCCAUUCUACGUCCCUGGCACUAUGUAAGAGAAAGUCCAAGAAGACCUAUUCUACGUCCCUGGCACAUUGGAAUGUUAUGAUAUGUUAUGUAAGGGAAAGACCAGGACCUAUUCUACGUUCUGGCACUAUUGGAUAUGUAGAGGGCUAUUGGUGACAAGUUCAUCCUUAAUGUGAUUUGUUUGUGAUGUGAUGCCUUUCAUGAAAGCAUGAAUUUUAAUAUAAUGUUUUACCAUUCUGCUCACUGGGAUCUUGUAGCUCACCCCAUUCUCUUAACCCUCAGGUUUGCAGGUACGGGAUAGACCAGGAAGUCAGCAAGAGUAAAGGAGUCAGGUUUUAUGUAAUAGUUAGAUGUGGACAUGUACUGUAAAAUGUUAUAACGUGAUGUAAUGUAAAGAAUUAUAUUGAGGAUAGAAUUGUGCUUAGCCCUAAUGUAUAGUUAAUCCCUUUGCGCAUGAUCUAGGAAAUGUUUUAAUGAGGUUUAUGUAAACCAAGCUUAAUGUAUGAUAUGUUACUCCAUUGGAGCAUUUGAUGAGUGCUCCAGUGUGGGGUUUUGUGAUUAUGAGUUUGUGCAUGCACAGAUUAAGCUUGGUAAAUGAAAGAAAAAGUUUAAAGUUUUAUGUAUAUGUAUGAUCAUGUUUGGGAUUUAAUAGGUAUACAGAAGGUAUGUUAGGCUUGCUACGGGUCCCGACGGCCUUAAGCCGAUUUGGAUCCUAGCGCCGGUAGCGGUCCGGUUUUCGGGUCAUUACAGAUUGGUAUCAGAGCCCUAGGUUUCAUAUGGUCGGACCUAGAGAGUGGCAGGCUCAUAGAUGUUAUAGAAGGGCAAGCACAAUAGGAAAAUCAUGUCCACUAGGAUAGGAUGUAGAGUCCUGUCUUGAAUGAUGAUGUGAAAUGCCAUGAUUUUACGCAUGUGCAUUAAUGUUAUGCUAUGUAUGUGAUGUAUGUGAUGCGGGUUCAUGUGUUUCCACAUGAACCAUUUGAUGCUGAUGUUUAUGUGAUGUGUGCCGUUUUUCAGAAAAUAGGAUGAGAGGAACUCGUCGAUCUGCACGAUUGACUGGAGUACCACCUCAGGAUGAGAGCACGGAUGCCCGUCCUCCUGCUUUGCCUAGGGCAAUGUCCUGCAGGUCUAGUAGGGAGAGAGUGUCAAGGGACCCUAGAAGGUCUUUUGAUGUGAGUAGAAGAGGAACAGUUCAGGGAGGAGUGUCAGAAGAUGUGGGGGAUGAUAUGGAUGUGGAUCAGAGGAGGGAUGGCAAUCUUGGUGUAAGUAUGUCUGAAGAGGGCAUGGGAGAGUCUCAAGGAGGCACUUAGGCCUCGGGGUUUGUUCAACCACCCCAAUACCCACCCUUUUCACAGAAUCCCGAGUAUUCAAUGGGAGGUACAUCGGAUUACCCCAGUUUUAAUCCUUAUUCUUCUUACAUGCCAUACCCACUUUUCUACCCACCAUACCCACAGUACCCUAUGUACCCACCCCCAUCUUUCUAUCCAGGUACAGCAAACCCUAACCCAAGAGAUGUUGCACCUCCUCCACCACCAGUAGAACCUGUAGCUCCAGAAGUCCAAGCACCUAAACCUAGCUCAUCUGGAGGGAGCAAGGUCAAGAUGACCGACUACUUGAAGUUGGAUGCUUCUAAGUAUGAAACAGGUGAUGAUCCGUUUGAGUACCUCAGGACUGUCAAGAUGAUAACAGAUAAGUUAGGAGCAGAUGACAGUAGAGCCAUUCAGAUGGCUGGGUUCAAACUGAAGUGUAAGAAGGCCCAAGAGUGGUUUAAAAAUUAUGUGAACCCAAGGUUGGAUAGUCUAUCAUGGGAAGAGUUUGCUAAUGAGUUUGCAGGAUGGGCUUUCCCUGAUAGCUCAAGGGAGUUGAAGAUGAUUGAGUUUGAGCAGCUAAGACAGACGGAGGAGAUGAGUGUAGAUGAGUACACAGAUAAGUUCUUGGAGCUGUUGCCGUUUGCAAGGCAAACUCUUGACACAGACCAGAAGAAGGCUAGGAGGUAUAUCAUGAAGCUUCAUUCCAAGUAUUCCUCCUUGAUCCAAUCAGCAGAAAGGGAGAGCUUCCAUGCCAUAGUGGAUAUGGCCUGGAGGAUAGAGGCUAGUGCAAUCAUCGAAGGAAAAGUUAAGCAGUCUGUGGCACAGUCUUCGGGUUCCAAGACCCUAGGUGGGGGAAGGUUAGACCCUUCUUCUUUGAGUACAGCAGCUUCAGAUAGUACAAGGUGGGCUAAUACCACCAAGAAGCCGAAGAAGAACAAGUUCUGGAACAAGAUAAAGUCAGGACUGGGAUUAGGAGGUGGCUCGAGCUCAGGUGCAGACAGUGUAGUAUGUAUGAAGUGUGGGAAGCCGCACAAGGAAGUAUGUCAGUUUGGGACGACAACCUGCUUCAGAUGUGGGCAGGAGGGACACAUGGCACGGGAGUGUCCUAGAGCAGCUUAUAUGGCACAGUCCCAGCAGACAGCUUCUGGUAGUGUGGCUCAGCCAGUAGCUCCAGCCGCGACUCAGGCUAGUGGCAGAGGCAGAGGGAGAGAGGCAGCCUCUUCUUCAGCAGGUUUCAGGGGUGAAGGUCCAUCAGCUCCAGCUCGAAUCUUCACGAUGACACAGCAGGAGGCUAAUACAUCAAACACCGUGGUGUCAGGUAAUCUCAUCAUUGGUUGUUUAGAUGUGUAUGCCUUAAUGAACCCUGGUGCAUCUCAUUCUUUUGUUGCUUCGAGAGCCGUUGAGAGGUUGGGUUUGAUGGUCUCUGGGUUAGAGUGUCCCCUUUGGGUCAGUGGACCCAAGUGUGAUCCAUCAGUGGCGGAGUCAGUCUGCCGGUUUAGUCCAGUUUUUGUUGAGGGUAGAUGCCUUCCAGCCGACCUUGUGGUUCUAGAUUUGACGGAUUUUGAUGUCAUUCUAGGGAUGGAUUGGCUAUCUACCCAUGGCGCUACCUUGGACUGUAGAGACAAGGUAGUCAGGUUCAGAGGUCAGGAUGGGUCAGAGGUUGUCUUCAGAGGAGACAGGAGGGGUAUACCUAGAGGUUUGAUAUCAGCCCUACAGGCUCGUAGGUUGCUCAGGAAGGGUUGUCAGGGUUUUCUAGCUCAUGUGAGAGAGCUGGAUAGUCAUGUUAGAGAGCUCGCCUCAGUGCCUGUGGUCAGAGAGUUUUUAGAUGUUUUCCUAGACAAGCUGCCAGGUUUACCACCUGCUAGGGAUAUAGAGUUCGAAAUAGAGUUGAUGCCUGGAAUCAGACCGAUCUCUAUCCCUCCUUACAGGAUGACACUAGCUGAGUUGAAAGAAUUGAAAGAGCAGUUGCAAGAGCUGGUAGACAAGGGUUUCAUCGGACCGAGUACCUCAUCUUGGGGUGCUCCAGUGCUAUUUGUGAAAAAGAAGGAUGGAUUCCUCAGACUUUGUAUCGACUACAGGCAGUUGAACAAGGUCACUACUAAGAAUAAAUAUCCGUUGCCCAAGAUCGGCGAUCUAUUCGACCAGCUAGCAGGAGCAGGUUGUUUCUCCUAGAUAGAUUUGAGAUCCGGGUACCAUCAGCUGAGGAUAAGAGAGGAAGAUGUGCCGAAGACGGCGUUCAGGACCAGAUAUGGGCACUAUGAGUUCCUUGUGAUAUCGUUCGGGUUAACCAAUGCCCCUGCAGCAUUCAUGGACCUCAUGAACAGAGUUUUCAGUCAGUAUCUGGAUCACUUUGUUAUUGUCUUCAUAGAUGAUAUCCUAGUGUAUUCCAGAAAUGCAGAGGAGCAUGCCCAUCAUCUGAGGUUGGUUUUGCAGACCUUGAGGGAACACGGCUUGUAUGCCAAGUUCUCCAAGUGUGAGUUCUAGUUGAGGAGCAUCUCAUUCUUGGGGCACGUUGUGUCAGAAAAUGGAAUAGAAGUGGACCCCAAGAAGGUGGAAGCUGUAGCUAACUGGCCUAGACCCACUACAGUGACAGAGAUCAAGAGCUUCUUGGGCUUGGCAGGUUACUACAGGAGGUUCGUUCAGGACUUCUCUAAGAUUGCAGCUCCUAUGACCAGAUUGACUAGAAAGAAUCAGAAGUUUAUGUGGAAUGACCAGUGUGAAGAGAGUUUUGAAGAGCUAAAGAAGAGUUUAACUUCAGCACCGGUGUUAGCUCUGCCUAACAGUAAUGAGGACUUCACAGUGUUUUGCGAUCGUCCCGUGUGGGACUGGGUUGUGUGCUGAUGCAGAAUGAAAGGGUGAUUGCUUAUGCUUCUAGGCAGCUGAAGAAGCAUGAGUUGAAUUAUCCUACACAUGACCUAGAGAUGGCAGCUGUAAUCUUUGCACUCAAGAUGUGGAGGCAUUACCUUUAUGGGGUUAAAUGUGAGAUCUUCACAGAUCAUAAAAGCCUGCAGUACAUCCUGAGUCAGAGAGAGUUGAACUUGAGGCAGAAAAGAUGGGUAGAACUGCUUAGUGACUAUGAUUGCAAGAUUCAGUACCAUCCGAAUAAGGCGAAUGUUGUGGUAGACGCCCUAAGCCGGAAAUCACUUGGCAGUUUGUCCCAUAUCACAGCAGAGAGGAGACCGGUGGUGAAAGAGUUUCAUAAGCUCAUUAAUGAAGGUCUACAGUUAGAGUUGUCUGGUACAGGUGCUUUGAUAGCCCAGAUGAGAGUGACACCUGUGUUUCUGGAGCAAGUAGCUCAGAAACAGCACGAGGACCCAAAGUUAGUGAAGAUUGCUAGGACUGUUCAGUCAGGCAAGAACGAAGAGUUCAGAUUUGACAGCAAAGGGAUCCUCCGCUAUGGAAAUAGAUUAUGCAUACCAGAUAACGUAAGUCUGAAGGGAGACAUUAUGAGGGAAGCUCAUAAUGCCAGGUACAGUGUUCACCCUGGAGCCACCAAAAUGUAUCAGGAUCUGAAAAGAGUUUAUUGGUGGCUAGCUAUGAAAAGAGAAGUGGCACAGUUUGUGUCAGCCUGCGAGGUAUGUCAGAGGGUGAAGCUGGAACAUCAGAAGCCGGCUGGAAUGCUUAACCCACUGCUGAUCCCAGAGUGGAAAUGGGAGAAUAUAGCUAUGGAUUUCGUGGUGGGGUUACCGGCAACGUCCAACAGAUUGGACUCCAUAUGGGUGAUUGUGGAUAGACUGACCAAAUCUGCUCACUUCAUCCCUGUCAAGAGUGGCUAUUCUGUGGACAAGUUGGCGCAGGUGUAUGUCGAUGAGGUUGUCAGGUUGCAUGGGGCUCCUGUUUCAAUAGUGUCUGAUAGAGGACCCCAGUUUACCUCCAGAUUUUGGCGGAGUCUACAGAGUGCUAUGGGUACCAAGCUAGACUUCAGCACUGCUUUUCAUCCCCAGACGGAUGGACAAUCAGAGAGGACCAUCCAGACAAUAGUGGAUAUGCUCAGAAUGUGUGUGCUAGAUUUUGGCGGUUCUUAGAGGCAGCAUCUACCUUUAGUGGAGUUUACCUACAAUAACAGCUAUCAUGCUAGCAUACGGAUGGCUCCAUAUGAAACCUUGUAUGGAAGGAAGUGCAGGUCACCUGUCUGCUGGGAGGAAGUUGGAGAAAGGGCCUUGGCAGGGCCUGAACUAGUAGAGAUCACCAGCAGAGUAGUACCAAUUAUCAGAGAAAGGAUCAAGACUACUGUGAGCAGGCAAAAGAGUUAUGCAGAUAUUCGCAGAAGACAAGUAGAGUUCCAGGAGGGGGAUUUGGUAUUGCUCAAGGUGUCUCCUAUGAAAGGGGUGAUUCGGUUUGAUAAGAAAGGUAAGUUAGCUCCACGGUACAUCGGACCCUUUGAAAUCUUGCAAAAGAUCGGGAAUAUAUCGUACAAGUUGGACUUACCUGCUUUAAUGGAGAGAAUCCAUCCGAUUUUCCAUGUUUCCAUAUUACAGAAGUUCGUGUCAGAUCCGGGCAAGGUUCUUAGUGAGCCUGAUGUAGAGAUCCUAGAAGAUCUCACCUAUGUUGAGCAGUCAGUACGGAUCGUAGACACGCAGAUCAGAAAAUUGAGGAACAAGGAAAUCCCGAUGGUGAAAGUCCUUUGGAAUCACCACAACAUCGAAGAGUGUACCUGAGAGACACGGGAGUCUAUGCUCCAGCAAUAUCCUUAUCUCUUCUAAGGUGAAUGUUAUGUGUUUUUGUGGUGUGUUUAUGUUUUAUGCUAUGCUAUGCUUGUUUGGUGAACAUUCAGGGAUGAAUGUUCUUAAAGGGGGGAGAAUGUAAUACCCGGCUAGACUCCGGUAUCGGAAUUCCUACCGUCCGGUGGAAUCUCGGAUGUCGGAAACCUCUAGAAGGGUAAAAUAAUGUUUUUAUAAAAUGUUUUCAAGUAUUUUAAGGUUUUAAGUAAGGAAGAAAUUGAGUUUUGAAUGAAAAUGACCAUAGAGGAAAAUCCAGGUUCGGCCGCCGAACCUCAUGUUUGGCCGCCGAACAUGGUGGAGUUUUGGAGUCACCUUUGGCUUCCGAAGGUGGUCUGGCCAGCCACCUAUAAAAGGCCCCAUGGCCGAAAAUGGGUGAGUUUUCUCUCCUACUUUCGGUCAACGGUGAGUUCAUGCCCUCCCAUGGUUGGUUGAGGUUUUCCUUCAAAUCCUACAAGUUUCUAACAAGUUUUAACUGGUUUUUGAAGUUUUUGAGCAAAGAUCGAAGUUUGGAAGCUUGGAGACCUCCGGAACCCAUUUUCCCCAAAUCUCCAAGUUGGGUCACG
rnacentral:lncRNA from 1 species